rnacentral:tRNA from 1 species
GGCUCCGUAGCUUGGAGGAAAGAAGCGCCCGUCCAGCGAAUUGGGAGUCGUGGGUUCAAUUCCCACUGGAGCAC